rnacentral:rRNA from 1 species
UACGGGGGGUGCAAGCGUUGUUCGAAAUUACUGGGCGUAAAGCGUACGUAGGCGGUUUGGUAAGUCCUGUGUGAAAUCCCCCGGCUUAACCGGGGAAAGUCAUGGGAUACUGCUAGACUAGAGUGUGAAAGGGGAGAGUGGAAUUCCCAGUGUAGUGGUGAAAUACGUAGAUAUUGGGAGGAACACCGGUGGCGAAAGCGACUCUCUGGUUCAUAACUGACGCUGAGGUACGAAAGCGUGGGGAGCAAACAGG